CCCGGUGGUAGAAUUCUUCCAUCAAACGGCCAUCUGCUCUCCGUAGAAAACGAACGGAUAGGAUUCCAUCAUCGCCAAUAUAAAAGGUCAACAGUCGGCAUUUGCCGAGGAGGGCUUUUGCCGAAGCCGAAGAGCGGCAACUGACGCACCUCCAAAAAUAAGCUUGGUGAGCUAUAGGACAACACGAGGGUUUUCAUUGGAGGUCUGCUUGGCAUGGAGGCUUCCUCAACUUAUCAACUAUAGAAUGUGAAGUUACAAGAGUGAAAGGACUCGUGAAGAGGUUUUCAAAACAAUUAUUCUUGAAAUAGAUUUUUUAUUGCAAGAUUUGAAAUAUCUUGAUAGGUAUUCAUGCUUUUUAUUUUACAAUUCCAAACCUUUGAUUGAUUGCUAUGACUGUUUUAAGGAAUGUAAUGGAGCAGCACACUGACCUGCAUAGAUCA